rnacentral:rRNA from 1 species
CAGUCGCCGCGGUAAUACGAAGGGUGCAAGCGUUAAUCGGAAUUACUGGGCGUAAGGCGUGCGUAGGCGGUGAGUUAAGUCUGCUGUGAAAUCCCCGGGCUCAACCUGGGAAUGGCAGUGGAUACUGGCUCGCUAGAGUGUGUCAGAGGAUGGUGGAAUUCCCGGUGUAGCGGUGAAAUGCGUAGAGAUCGGGAGGAACAUCAGUGGCGAAGGCGGCCAUCUGGGACAACACUGACGCUGAGGCACGAAAGCGUGGGGAGCAAACAGGAUUAGAUACCCCAGUAGUCCCUGUCUCUUAUAA